CCCCAUCCCUUUGGGGAGUAGCCUCUUCUAUCACAUAAAAAUACGAUGAAGAUGGUCGUCAACAUAAUUGAAGCAAAAUCUUCGUGGCGAUCAUGACUUACAUACACUGGUGUAAGUU
rnacentral:misc_RNA from 1 species